rnacentral:rRNA from 1 species
UACGGAGGGUGCGAGCGUUGUCCGGAAUCACUGGGCGUAAAGGGCGCGUAGGUGGCGCGACAAGUCAACGGUGAAAGCCCGGGGCUCAACCCCGGGUCGGCCGUCGAUACUGUUGGGCUUGAGCACUGUAGAGGCAGAAGGAAUUCCGGGUGUAGCGGUGGAAUGCGUAGAGAUCCGGAAGAACACCGGUGGCGAAGGCGGUCUGCUGGGCAGUAGCUGACACUGAUGCGCGACAGCGUGGGGAGCAAACAGG